rnacentral:lncRNA from 1 species
UCUCCCUCUCCACUUGUUCUCCUUCCACCAACAGCGACAGUGUCCGACUGUUUUCAGUUGCCUACCAGACUCGUUCGGGAAAGGUUGUGAGUUUUUCCUCGCUCUUCCCGUUCGUACUAGAACGGCGCUUCUCUUUUCUCCACGGUCCGACCCAUUCAUUUCUUUCCUUUCAAACAUUUUUGCGACCUACUCGUCCUACAAUAGAACGUCCUCCAUGCCUCCUUAAUUCUUCUGGAGCGGUCGGCAUUAUGAGGAGGGGACUGUUUCUGGGCGGCCAACUCGUCAUCUACUCUCUGCUGAUUGUCGCCAACGAGAGUCAUCCUGGGGCUCUGCCUGGACUGUUCGUCGACCAGGACGACAUUGACGGCUGUAAUCAUGACCACGGACCGGCACCUUCGUUCAGUGCUCCGGAGAAUGGAUCGACCGUGAAAGGCCAUCACAGCGCCCCAACUCUACUACACUGCACCGUUGAAGAGCUCCAUCACCGAGCUAUGAAUUCUAUUUCUUUUCUUCUUUCUUUUUUUUUACUGUUGUCCUAUUUUCGUUUCUUAGUAUAAUUUCAGCGGCUUGCUAUGCUUACCUCGUGCAUUGCGAUUGAGCGAGUCAGCCGCUGUCAAGGGAGGGGCGCGUUUACGUUUACUGCCACAGAGUUGUAUUUCAGACUGAGGGCGAACAAUCGAUUAAAGCAGUCAUCAAAGCAUGGAGGGUUAAAUGUACACGACGAUCCACUCUACAAAACCAUUCCAACGUCGUCGAAUGCCGGUUGUAAAAUGAAACGAAAUGGAAUAAUAUCGCGAAUGCGAGGCAGAA